GAUGAACGCUGGCGGCGUGCCUAAUACAUGCAAGUCGAGCGAACGGACGAGAAGCUUGCUUCUCUGAUGUUAGCGGCGGACGGGUGAGUAACACGUGGAUAACCUACCUAUAAGACUGGGAUAACUUCGGGAAACCGGAGCUAAUACCGGAUGAUAUUUUGAACCGCAUGGUUCAAAAGUGAAAGACGGUCUUGCUGUCACUUAUAGAUGGAUCCGCGCUGCAUUAGCUAGUUGGUAAGGUAACGGCUUACCAAGGCAACGAUGCAUAGCCGACCUGAGAGGGGGAUCGGCGACACUGGAACUGGGACACGGUCCAGACUCCUGCGGGAGGCAGCAGUAGGGAAUCUUCCGCAAUGGGCGAAAGCCUGACGGAGCAACGCCGCGUGAGUGAUGAAGGUCUUCGGAUCGUAAAACUCUGUUAUUAGGGAAGAACAUAUGUGUAAGUAACUGUGCACAGCUUGACGGUACCUAAUCAGAAAGCCACGGCUAACUACGUG
rnacentral:rRNA from 1 species